AACAGGGGUGGUAUAGUGCGUCAUCAACAGGUGCGCGCAACACUUCCCGAUGCGGCUUUUUUAUGUCAAAACACCUCGAUUCGAUCACAACAGAAACACCUGAGAUAUUCUGUUUAUCAGAAUUAAAUUAUGAAGCUAAACACUAGGGGUUCAGCAGUAUGAUAUCCGUAGACAGAUGAACAUAAACUGCAUAUAGUAAUUCAUGCAUUUCUCGGGAAUAAAAUGACACGUCAAAAAAAUCAGAAUUGUAGAAAGAACAAUACCCGCUUGUUGAGGAUGUUUGUGAAAAAGUCAGAAAUGAAGACCACAAAAGUAGUCGUUGUUUGAGGUUCACUCACUGGCAAUAUGUGCAGACACCGUUUGAAACAGCUCACUGUUACGUGUGACCACUACCGUACAAUAUUUAGCCAUGAACAGUUUUUGUAGACGGAAUUUAAUGUGAUUUUGCGUGACUUCAAACAAUUGUGAUUUUUUUAUUUAAACAUGUUUUGUUUUGUCUGUCUGUGUCACAGAGUCUUGUCAGUGUCUCUCCUUUCUUCUAAAUAACAUUUGACAGAUUUUGAUGAAAGGCAACAGCAGUAUUAAACUUUGUAUGAAAUGUAGUUGACACUAAUGCGCAUAACGGGUAAAACACAACAAUGUAAAUAUUCUUGUUAUCUCUAUGUUUCGGUCAAUAAACGUUAACAGAUUAUACUACAUUGUCACUUUAUCAAGUUUUGUGUGUUUCUAAUGAAAUUUCUGAGUUAUAAUUAGUGUAAUUGCGCAAAACCUCAAUAUUUUCCAGUUUAAUGGUUUCAAGAGUUAUUAUAUUCUGAUUUUUGUUGAUUUUUAGGCAGUGCAUCUUCACUUCGCGUCUUUCUGUCGUGUCUGAAUAUUUCCAGUUGUUGAGAAUAUGUGACAUAGAGAUGUACACUGCUUCUUGAUCGAACAAAACAAUAAAGCAUACAAUUCGGACAGAAUUUGUCAUAUAUGCGAUCUUAAUGAAACUUAAGGUUUUUUAAAUGCUGAGUUAUAAAGAAUUACGUCCAAAGUUAAAGAAACGUUUUCAUUAUACUCGUAUUUAUAAGUGUGUAUAAAAUUUAGAAUUGCUGCAAUCAAGUAAUAAAUCUACUUUGUUGAUUUGUGUAAAUAUAUAACAUUAGCUGAUAAAAGGAAGAUGUUGCUAUGUCUUAAAGUGUAUGUGCGUAUGUUUAUGUCACAACGGCUUCCACUGUGUAAGGGUUUAAAUAAAAAAAUCAGUAAAAUUUCCUAUUUUAAAUAAUCUUUUAUACAACAACAUUUUCAACAACUAAACAGUUUAAGAAAAGCAAAGUAAUUUACAUUGCAAGUAAAAUUGUUCUACCACUGUUCAAGCUCACUUCGAGUUUUAACAUGUAAUUGGGUGCACUAAGAUUUGCAAGCAAAAUCUGAACAUUAGUAAAAUGUUAAAUCCUCAA